rnacentral:rRNA from 1 species
UACAGAGGGUGCAAGCGUUGUUCGGAAUUAUUGGGCGUAAAGGGCGCGUAGGCGGUGUGGCAAGUCGGGAGUGAAAUCUCUGGGCUCAACUCAGAGACUGCUUCCGAAACUGCUGUGCUGGAGUGUGGGAGAGGCGCGUGGAAUUGCAGGUGUAGCGGUGAAAUGCGUAGAUAUCUGCAGGAACACCCGUGGCGAAAGCGGCGCGCUGGACCACUACUGACGCUGAGGAACGAAAGCUAGGGGAGCAAACAGG